ACUGACCUAGGAGACUAAAGGAAGAAGAAGCCAUGUGGGGGCUGCAGCUCAGGGCUAGGAUGGCCCCUCCUCCCUCUGUCCCCAGCUGUAUGAUGACAAAGCUGUCACUAGUUAGGGCGCUCAAAUCCCAAGUGCCAGGACCUUCUGCUGUGCUGAGAGACAGAGAUCACUGCUGUCAGCUGCCGACAACCAAGAGUGCCAUCUGCAAACUGUGAUUCAUAAACGCGCUGUCAGGCCGCCAUCCGCCUCGACAUCAUAAAGUAACAAGAAGCCACAUUGUAAUCAAGGGGCGAGCUUUGCAGCUACCAAUUAAAUGCAUCUAAUUUA